rnacentral:misc_RNA from 1 species
CUAGAGUUUUUCUUCAUCACUUAUGUUCAUCAUGACAAGUUUAUUUUCUGAACUUGUACUGUUUCUCUUUUGCAUCGGCUUCUUCUUCAUGGUAAGCAGUGAAUCCAGUUCAGGUGUCCAAGCAUUGAAUGUCCACUGCAGAGAAAGCGAGCAGAAAGCACUUCUCAUGCUCAAAGAUGGUUUUCACACUUCUUUGGAUCGUUUCUCUUCAUGGGUACCUGAAGAAGAUUGCUGCAAAUGGAAAGGUGUUGGUUGCAACAACGAAACAGGACACGUCAUCUCUCUUGAUCUCCACAGCCCAGAUCCUUUAGAGCUCUUGCAAGGUGAGUUGAGAGAUUCUUUGCUUCACUUGCCAUAUCUAAGUCAUCUAGACUUGAGCCACAGUGAUUUCUACCAAACUCUAAUUCCUGAGUUCAUUGGUUCACUUUCAAAUUUAAAAUAUCUGAACUUGUCUCAUUCCAAUUUUAGAGGGACCAUUCCCUAUCAUCUUGGAAACUUGUCUAGUUUGCAGACUCUUGACUUGAGUAAUAAUCAAUCUUCUCUUAGGGCCAGCAGCCUUGUUUGGCUUGCGGGUCUUUCCUCGCUGAAAGUCCUUGAUCUGAGUACUGUAUAUCUUGGUGACGUAGUUAACUGGCUAGACGCAGUCAACAUGCUACCUUCUUUGGUAGUGCUGCGUUUAGUCUCUUGUCAACUUCGUAACCUUCCACAAUCUUUGCCAUCUUUGAAUUUUUCUUCCCUAGAAGUCCUUGACCUUUCCUACAAUGGCUUUUAUCUUUCUGUGAUUCCGAAUUGGUUGGUAGAGUUUAGCCAUACUCUUAGCAUUCUUAAUCUCACAACUUGCUCGUUGCAAGGUUCCAUUCCCCAUACCAUUGUGAAUUUUACAUCUCUUGUUGUGCUUGAUUUUUCUUUCAACUAUCUCAAGGGUUCUAUUCCUCAUGGUUUUGGGAACAUGACAUCCCUUGCUGUUCUGGAUCUCUCAUUCAAUGAUCUUGAAGGUCCAUUACCAGCAACCUUAGGUCUGAUUCAGGAAUCGCACCACUUCAAACAUUCACCCUUGCGAGAACUUCGUGUUUCCAACAAUUUUUUGUUGAAUGGGUCUUUAGAAAGAAUCCUUCCUCAACUUUCACAAUUAAUUGUCCUGGAUGUUGCUUGGAAUGAUUUGGAUGGUGUGAUCACUGAAGCUCAUUUACAGGAUUUCAGUAGAUUGCGGGUACUUGACUUGUCAUUCAAUAGGUUAAUUUUUAAUCUGAGCUCAAACUGGAUUCCUGAUUUUCAACUUGAGUCCUUAAGUUUGGGAGAUUGCGAAGUGGGUCCACGAUUUCCCCAGUGGCUCCAAAGCCAAACGAGAAUUUUGGAACUCGAUAUGUCUAACGCGAAUAUAUCAGACACAGUUCCUGAUUGGUUUUGGGAUAUUUCUACGUCGAUGGAGAGUUUGUAUCUUUCUAACAACCAUCUUACGGGGAAAUUACCUAAUUUAUCAUCAAGCGCGAGUUUGUUGAUAUUGGUUUUAAGUGGAAAUGAAUUUGAGGGUCGCCUGCCUCAGUUCCCCCCAGCAAUAGAAAUUCUACUAUUAGGCCACAAUCAAUUUUCAGGACCAAUUUCUCCCAUAUGUGAUAUGAUGAAUAAAAGUAAUGCAUUACGUCACGGAAAUAAUCUGUCAAGAAGCCUUUCAGAUUGUUGGAUAUAUGGGCAAAAUUUGGUUUUUCUUCAUUUAGGAUUCAACCAAUUGUCUGGUCAAAUCCCUGAGUCAAUUGGCCAUCUAAUUAACCUCAAAUGGUUGUUUUUGAAUUAUAAUAGCUUGUCUGGAGAGAUACCUCAAUCCUUGCAGAAGUGCACAAGUUUGAUUCUCCUGGCUCUUGGGAACAAUUCACUAUCUGGGAGCAUACCGACAUGGUUGGGGGAAAGCUUAGAGAAUCUGCGGGAUAUAUCGUUACAUCACAAUACUUUCGAAGGAAAUAUACCAUUGCAGCUUUGCCAGUUGAGACACCUAUCUUACUUGGACUUCUCUUUCAAUUCACUAUCAGGACCAAUUCCACUGUGCAUCCAUAAUUUUAUUAUGAUGGCUGGGAAAGAAGUUGAAAAUAUUCGAGAAUAUUUUUAUAUUACGAAUGAUGGAGCAAAAAGCCUGAUGUGGAGGUCACAAGGUAAGUUUCAGUACCAUAAGAUUAUGGAUCUUUCACAUAACAUGCUAAGUGGGGGGAUCCCAAGAGAAGUUACAAGCCUAAUUGGAUUGACGCUUCUGAAUCUUUCCAACAAUUAUCUGACAGGAGCUAUUCCUUGUGAUAUUGGAGCCAUGAAAUCCUUAAAUUAUCUAGAUUUAUCAAGCAACCAGCUUUCUGGCACCAUUCCUCCCGGCAUUUAUGCUCUAACUCAUCUUGAAGAAUUGAAUUUGUCACACAACAAUUUGUCAGGGAAAGUUCCCUCACCCCAUAAUUUUAGUGCAUAUGCAUUCAUCGGAAAUCAUAACUUGUGCGGGCCUCCACUUGCAAAGAAUUGCUCUGCAAAUGAAUCAUUCGAAGAAACAGAAUGCAGCACUAACAGUAAAUCAAAGGGAAAAAAUGAUGGAAUUCAGGAAAAGGAACAUAGGCACGGAUUCAAGCCUUUCAAGGAGAAGCCUUCAUUCUACAUCAGUGUGGCUAGUGGAUUUUUUACGGGGUUUUGGGGAUUUUGGGCUACUUUAGUCUUCAACGAGUCAUGGAGGAAUGCCUACUACCGUUUCUUGGGCAACAUGGGUGACAGAAUUUAUGUGUUUGCGGUAGUGAUCACAGCUAAGCUGCGGAGGAAAUGUCGGAGGUAACAAGCUGUGGAGGUAAGGUCAGAACAAUUCUUUCUUAAGUUUGCUAUAUUUUUUAUACUUUACAUUGUAGUAGAUCCUUAUUCUUUAUUUUUGAAGCAGUUUAUUCCAUGGCCAUAUAGUUAAUAUAUUUAAUUUCUUAUUUGGAACUUAUUCUGGCAGAGUUUGAUGCAUGCAUUUUAUAUCAU